rnacentral:rRNA from 1 species
AAAGCUCAAAUUUGAAAUCUGGCGCCUUCGGUGUCCGAGUUGUAAUUUGAAGAUUGUAACCUUGGGGUUGGCUCUUGUCUAUGUUUCUUGGAACAGGACGUCACAGAGGGUGAGAAUCCCGUGCGAUGAGAUGCCCAAUUCUAUGUAAGGUGCUUUCGAAGAGUCGAGUUGUUUGGGAAUGCAGCUCUAAGUGGGUGGUAAAUUCCAUCUAAAGCUAAAUAUUGGCGAGAGACCGAUAGCGAACAAGUACAGUGAUGGAAAGAUGAAAAGAACUUUGAAAAGAGAGUGAAAAAGUACGUGAAAUUGUUGAAAGGGAAGGGUUUGAGAUCAGACUCGAUAUUUUGUGAGCCUUGCCUUCGUGGCGGGGUGACCCGCAGCUUAUCGGGCCAGCAUCGGUUUGGGCGGUAGGAUAAUGGCGUAGGAAUGUGACUUUACUUCGGUGAAGUGUUAUAGCCUGCGUUGAUGCUGCCUGCCUAGACCGAGGACUGCGAUUUUAUCAAGGAUGCUGGCAUAAUGAUCCC